UUGGAUGGAUGUGAAAACGGACUUUCAACUCUCCUGAAUCCAACAAUGUGGAGAAGAAACCCAAAUCGAGCUUUUUAACACUGACCAAG
rnacentral:snoRNA from 1 species